UACGUAGGGGGGCAAGCGUUGUCCGGAUUUAUUGGGCGUAAAGAGCGUGUAGGCGGCCAGGGAGGUCCGUUGUGAAAACUCGAGGCUCAACCUCGAGACGUCGGUUGAAACCAUCUGGCUAGAGUCCGGGAAGAGGAGUGUGGAAUUCCCAGUGUAGCGGUGAAAUGCGCAGAUAUCGGGAAGAACACCCGUGGCGAAGGCGGCACUCUGGGACGGUACUGACGCUGAGACGCGAAAGCGUGGGGAGCGAACAGG
rnacentral:rRNA from 1 species